CACACACACACAACUAUACCACACUUGUUCAACUUCACCAUUAAAGGGCGCCUGAAAGGCUCUCUGUGCCCUAAACUCUGACCGGAGUCCUUGUCCUAAGAAGAUAUCAGACCAGCAUUCCGCAUCCAGAGUAACCUACUCUAUCACAGCGCCCUCUUGUGGCCAACAAGUGGACAUGGCUGCCUCCUUGCAGAAAGCUAAACAUCCGGAAACAGACGCUGAAAAGUUGAACUCACAAGCUGCUGCGGAUGACGAGCUGGACGAGGAGGACGAAGUGGACGAGGACGAUCCUCCCAGUUCUGAAAGGCUCCUUCGGUUGGGCGGCAUCGGCAAUCGGGGUUUGGGGUAGUCGUAGCUGUUGUCCUCGUCCUCCCUGUCCUGGACCGAGUGCUCCCUGGGGCCAUUAGUCACAGGCUGAGGGGGCAGCUCGGAAUAAUCUAGAGAGAAAUAUGUUAGGACACAGACUGUCAUGAUCCCACGCAACAGUUUGGAUUUUGGUCUUCAUUUUCCUGAGUUUGGUAUCAUUUCCUGUGACGGUGCUCUGGUUUUAGUAGUACUUCCUGUCGGGACUCCUCGUUCUGCUACACUUUCGGCUUACUUUUAUGCCAGCGCACCUGUUUUCUAUUGGUAAUGAAGUCUAUUUAGGUUCACCUGAUGCUCUUUACCCUUUUGUUUCUGCUGUUUAAUCCUUUUAAAAUGGGAAUUGCACUACUUUUGGAAUGUUGCCUGUCGUUCGCAAUCAUUAUGAAAGACAUGAUGACGGAUGGAUGUUUUUUUAUUGUAUUCUAAAUAUUAAAUUAAAGGCCUACUGAAAGCCACUACUACCGACCACGCAGUCUGAUAGUUUAUAUAUCAAUGAUGAAAUUUUAACAUUGCAACACAUGCCAAUACGGCCGGGUUAACUUAUAAAGUGACAUUUAAAACUUCCCGGGAAAUAUCCGGCUGAAACGUCGCGGUAUGAUGGCGUAUGCGCGUGACGAAGUCCGAGUAACGGAAGUUAUGGUACCCCGUAGAAUCCUAUACAAAAAGCUCUGUUUACAUUUCAUAAUUCCACAGUAUUCUGGACAUCUUUUGCAAUUUUUUUAAUAACAGAAGGCUGCAAAGAAGACAGUUGUAGGUGGGAUCCGUGUAUUAGCAGCGGACUACAGCAACACAACCAGGAGGACUUUGUUGGAGCGCUAGCCGCCGACCUCACCUUGACUUCCUACGUCUACGGGCCGCCAAACGCAUCGGGUGAAGUCCUUCGUCCUUCUGCCGAUCGCUGGAACGCAGGUGAGCACGGGUGUUGAUGAGCAGAUGAGGGCUGGCUGGCGUAGGUGGAGAGCUAAUGUUUUUAGCAUAGCUCUGUG